GAUGAACGCUGGCGGCGUGCCUAAUACAUGCAAGUCGAGCGAACAGACGAUGGUCUUUCUCCUCUGACGUUAUCGUCUGACGUGUGUGUAACACGUGUAUAACCUACCUAUAUUACUUGUAUAACUUCGUGAAUCCGGAUCUAAUACCGGAUAAUAUAUUGAACCGCUUGGUUCAUUAGUUAAUUUCGGUUUUUCUGUCUCUUAUAGAUUGUUCCGGGCCGCAUUAGCUAGUUGGUAAGGUAACGGCUUACCAAGGCAACGAUGCGUAGCCGACGUGAGAGGGUGAUAGGACACACUGGAAGUGAGACACGGAACAGACAACUACGGGAGGCAGCAGAAGGGAAUGUGACGCAAUGGGCGAAAGCAUGACGGAGCAAAGCCGAGUGAGAGAAGAAGGACUAAGGAGCGGAAAAAAAUGUUAUUAGGGAAGAAAAAAAGUGGAAGGAAAUAAGGAGGGAAUGACGGUAACAAAUAAGAAAGCAACGGCUAACUACGUG
rnacentral:rRNA from 1 species